rnacentral:rRNA from 1 species
UUCCUUCCGUAGGGUAACCUGCGGAGGGAUCAUUA